UGACGUGUAGGUGAAAGCUUACUAUCUCUUCGGAGCAUUUUACGAGGUGCUGCAUGGUUGUCGUCAGCUCGUGCCGUGAGGUGUCGGGUUAAGUCCCAUAACGAGCGCAACCCUACCUUUAGUGCCAUCAGGUAAUGCUGGGGACUCUAAAGGAACUGCCUACGCAAGUAGUGAGGAAGGCGGGGAUGACGUCAAAUCAGCACGGCCCUUACGUCCAGGGCUACACACGUGCUACAAUGGCCGAUACAGAGGGCAGCUACCUGGUGACAGGAUGCAAAUCUCCAAAGUCGGUCUCAGUUCGGAUCGGAGUCUGCAACCCGACUCCGUGAAGUUGGAUUCGCUAGUAAUCGCGCAUCAGCCAUGGCGCGGUGAAUACGUUCCCGGGCCUU
rnacentral:rRNA from 1 species